rnacentral:rRNA from 1 species
AACGUAGGAGGCUAGCGUUAUCCGGAUUUACUGGGCGUAAAGCGCGUGCAGGCGGCCAUCUAAGUUGGGCGUAAAAUCUCUCGGCUUAACCGGGAGGCGCCGUCCAAGACUGGGUGGCUUGAGGGCAGGAGAGGGAAGCGGAAUUCCAGGUGUAGCGGUAAUAUGCGCAGAUAUCUGGAGGAACACCAGUGGCGAAGGCGGCUUCCUGGCCUGAUCCUGACGCUAAGACGCGAAAGCUAGGGGAG